rnacentral:tRNA from 1 species
GGCUGUAGCUCAGUGGUAGAGUGCUUACCUAGCAUGUGUGAGGCACUGGGUUCCAUUCUCAGCACCA